GCAAAACGCGAAGAACCUUACCAGGUCUUGACAUCCCGCUGCCCGCUCUAGAGAUAGAGUUUUCCCUUCGGGGACAGCGGUGACAGGUGGCGCAUGGUUGUCGUCAGCUCGUGUCGUGAGAUGUUGGGUUAAGUCCCGCAACGGGCGCAACCCUUGAUCUUAGUUGCCAGCAUUCAGUUGGGCACUCUAAGGUGACUGCCGGUGAUAAACCGGAGGAAGGUGGGGAUGACGUCAAAUCAUCAUGCCCCUUAUGACCUGGGCUACACACGUGCUACAAUGGACGGUACAGAGGGUCGCAACCCCGCGAGGGUGAGCAAAUCCCAUAAAACCGUUCUCAGUUCGGAUUGUAGGCUGCAACUCGCCUACAUGAAGCCGGAAUCGCUAGUAAUCGUGGAUCAGCAUGCCACGG
rnacentral:rRNA from 1 species